AUGUACAGAAAUAUACAUCUUUCUUUCUUUCUUUCUUUCUUUCUUUCUUUCUUUCUUUCUUUCUUUCUUUCUUUCUUUCUUUCUUUCUUUCUUUCUUUCUUUCUUCCUUUCUUUCUUUCUUUCUUUCUUUCUUUCUCUUCCUCUUCUUUCUUUCUCUCUUUCUUUCUCUCUUUCUCUCUUUCUCUCUUUCUCUUUCUUUCUUCCUCUCUUUCUCUCUUUCUGUCUUUCUCUCUCUUUCUCUUUCUUUCUUCCUCUCUUUCUCUCUUCUUCUCUCUUUCUCUCUCUUUCUCUCUUUUUCUUUUUCUCUCUCUUCUUUCUUCUUUCUUUCCUUUCUUUCUUCUUUCUUUCUUUUCUUUCUUUCUUUCUUUCUUCUUUCUUUCUUUCUUUCUUUCUCUCUUUCUUUCUUUCUUUCUCUCUUCUUUUUUUCUUUCUCUCUUUCUUUCUCUUCUUUCUCUCUUUCUUUCCUUCUCUCUCUCUUUCUCUCUUUCUUCUCGUCUCCUUUCUUUCUUUCUUUCCAUCUUUUUUCUUUCUUUCUUCUUUCUUUCUUUUUCUUUCUUUCUUUCUUUCUCUCUCCUUUUUCUUUUCUUUCUUUCUUCUUUCUUUUUUCUUUCUUCUUUCUUUCUUUCUUCUUUCUUUCUUUUCUCUUCUUUCUUUCUCUUCUUUUCUUUCUUUCUUUCUCUCGUUUCUUUCUUUCUUUUCUUUCUUUCUUUCUCUCUUUCUUUCUUCUCUCUCUCUCUCUUUCUCUCUUUCCUUCUUUUCUUCCUCUCUUUCUCUCUUUCUUGUCUUCUGCUUUCUCUAUUUCUUUCUUCCUCUCUUUCUUCUCUUUCGCUUUCCCUCUCUUACUCCCUCAUUCUUUCUCUCUUUCUUUCAUUUUCUUUCUUCUUUUCUUUCUUUCUUCUUUCUUUUCUUUCUUUCUUUCUUUCUUUCUUUCUUUCUUUCUCUCUUUCUUUCUUCUCUCUCUUCUUCUUUCUUUCCCUCUUUCUUUUCUUUCUCUCUCUUCUUUUCUUUUCUUCUCUUUCUUCUUUCUUUCUUUCCUUUCUUUCUUUCUUUCUCUACUUCUUUCUCCUUUCUUUCUUUUCUUUCUUCUUUCCUUUUCUUUCUUUCUUUCUUUUCUUUCUUCUUUUUUUUUCCUCCCUCCUCUCUCUCUCUCUCUCUCUCUCUUUCUUUCUUCUUUCUUUCUUUCUUUCUUUCUUUCUUUCUCUCUUUCUCUCUUUCUUUCUCUCUUUUUCUCUCUUUCUUUUCUCUCUUUCUCUCUUUCUCACCUUUCUUUUCUUCUUCCUCUUCUUUCGCUCUCUUUCUGUCUUUCUCUCUCUUUCUCUUUUCUUC
rnacentral:lncRNA from 1 species